rnacentral:rRNA from 1 species
UACGGAGGGUGCAAACGUUGUUCGGAAUUACUGGGCGUAAAGGGCUCGUAGGCGGCCAACUAAGUCAGACGUGAAAUCCCUCGGCUUAACCGGGGAACUGCGUCUGAUACUGGAUGGCUUGAGUUUGGGAGAGGGACGCGGAAUUCCAGGUGUAGCGGUGAAAUGCGUAGAUAUCCGGAGGAACACCGGUGGCGAAGGCGGCUUCCUGGACCGACACUGACGCUGAGGCGCGAAAGCUAGGGGAGCAAACGGG